AUGAACGCUGGCGGCGCGCCUAACACAUGCAAGUCGAACGGCACCCCUCUCCGGAGGGAAGCGAGUGGCGAACGGCUGAGUAACACGUGGAGAACCUGCCCCCUCCCCCGGGAUAGCCGCCCGAAAGGACGGGUAAUACCGGAUACCCCGGGGUGCCGCAUGGCACCCCGGCUAAAGCCCCGACGGGAGGGGAUGGCUCCGCGGCCCAUCAGGUAGACGGCGGGGUGACGGCCCACCGUGCCGACAACGGGUAGCCGGGUUGAGAGACCGACCGGCCAGAUUGGGACUGAGACACGGCCCAGACUCCUACGGGAGGCAGCAGUGGGGAAUCUUGCGCAAUGGGGGGAACCCUGACGCAGCGACGCCGCGUGCGGGACGGAGGCCUUCGGGUCGUAAACCGCUUUCAGCAGGGAAGAGUCAAGACUGUACCUGCAGAAGAAGCCCCGGCUAACUACGUGCCAGCAGCCGCGGUAAUACGUAGGGGGCGAGCGUUAUCCGGAUUCAUUGGGCGUAAAGCGCGCGUAGGCGGCCCGGCAGGCCGGGGGUCGAAGCGGGGGGCUCAACCCCCCGAAGCCCCCGGAACCUCCGCGGCUUGGGUCCGGUAGGGGAGGGUGGAACACCCGGUGUAGCGGUGGAAUGCGCAGAUAUCGGGUGGAACACCGGUGGCGAAGGCGGCCCUCUGGGCCGAGACCGACGCUGAGGCGCGAAAGCUGGGGGAGCGAACAGGAUUAGAUACCCUGGUAGUCCCAGCCGUAAACGAUGGACGCUAGGUGUGGGGGGACGAUCCCCCCGUGCCGCAGCCAACGCAUUAAGCGUCCCGCCUGGGGAGUACGGCCGCAAGGUUGAAACUCAAAGGAAUUGACGGGGGCCCGCACAAGCAGUGGAGUAUGUGGUUUAAUUCGACGCAACGCGAAGAACCUUACCAGGGCUUGACAUAUAAGUGAAUAAUUAAGAGAUUAGUUAGCUCUUCGGAGCACUUAUACAGGUGGUGCAUGGUUGUCGUCAGCUCGUGUCGUGAGAUGUUGGGUUAAGUCCCGCAACGAGCGCAACCCCCGCCGCGUGUUGCCAUCGGGUGAUGCCGGGAACCCACGCGGGACCGCCGCCGUCAAGGCGGAGGAGGGCGGGGACGACGUCAAGUCAUCAUGCCCCUUAUGCCCUGGGCUGCACACGUGCUACAAUGGCCGGUACAGAGGGAUGCCACCCCGCGAGGGGGAGCGGAUCCCGGAAAGCCGGCCCCAGUUCGGAUUGGGGGCUGCAACCCGCCCCCAUGAAGUCGGAGUUGCUAGUAAUCGCGGAUCAGCAUGCCGCGGUGAAUGCGUUCCCGGGCCUUGUACACACCGCCCGUCACACCACCCGAGUCGUCUGCACCCGAAGUCGCCGGCCCAACCGUCAAGGGGGGAGGCGCCGAAGGUGUGGAGGGUGAGGGGGGUG
rnacentral:rRNA from 1 species